UACGUAGGUGGCAAGCGUUAUCCGGAAUUAUUGGGCGUAAAGAGCGCGCAGGUGGUUGAUUAAGUCUGAUGUGAAAGCCCACGGCUUAACCGUGGAGGGUCAUUGGAAACUGGUCGACUUGAGUGCAGAAGAGGGAAGUGGAAUUCCAUGUGUAGCGGUGAAAUGCGUAGAGAUAUGGAGGAACACCAGUGGCGAAGGCGGCUUCCUGGUUUGUAACUGACACUGAGGCGCGAAAGCGUGGGGAGCAAACAGGAUUAGAUACCCU
rnacentral:rRNA from 1 species